ACGAACGCUGGCGGCGUGCUUAACACAUGCAAGUCGAACGGAAAGGCCCUGCUUUUGUGGGGUGCUCGAGUGGCGAACGGGUGAGUAACACGUGAGUAACCUGCCCUUGACUUUGGGAUAACUUCAGGAAACUGGGGCUAAUACCGGAUAGGAGCUCCUGCUGCAUGGUGGGGGUUGGAAAGUUUCGGCGGUUGGGGAUGGACUCGCGGCUUAUCAGCUUGUUGGUGGGGUAGUGGCUUACCAAGGCUUUGACGGGUAGCCGGCCUGAGAGGGUGACCGGCCACAUUGGGACUGAGAUACGGCCCAGACUCCUACGGGAGGCAGCAGUGGGGAAUAUUGCACAAUGGGCGGAAGCCUGAUGCAGCAACGCCGUGUGCGGGAUGACGGCCUUCGGGUUGUAAACCGCUUUCGCCUGUGACGAGGCGUGAGUGACGGUAAUGGGUAAAGAAGCACCGGCUAACUACGUG
rnacentral:rRNA from 1 species